UAGCCAUAACUAUAUAUGCCUUGUGUGUGACACCCCCAAAAUAGGUAUACAUCACCUAUUCUGAGUCGCCAAAUACAUGGUACAAAAUACAAAUACACUCUUUAAUAUACAACAAGAGAGCUGUGAGUUUUAAUACAAAUACUAUCUUCUAGACAAAAUCCACUCUCAGAAUAAGUCCUCAUUACAUUUAUUGUCACACUAUUUAACAGAAUAGUGAGGACUACUAAUACUAUCAUCUGGACCGUCACUCCGUUCCCCGACUAGUCCCGGCUACGUUCUCAUUUCCUGAAUAGAACAGAGAAAGAAAGGGUGAGCUCAACUAGCUCAGUAAGGAAUAUUAUGACUAAGAUAAUGCAGAAUAAAUUAUCAUUAGUCUUCAACAAUGUUAAACUGAUAAAAUACAAUAGACAUCAAGUUUAAUUGCAGCGGAACAAGCAAUCCAUUAAAAGAGUCAAGUAGAGAAUAAAAUCUACUAUCUUUUAUGAUUUAAAAGGUUUUUCAUCACUUUUAUCGCUGGGACUCAGCUUAAUACAUAAUCCACAUCAUCCCUGCACUACGGCCAAGGAUUAGUAUCACAACCAAAAAUUAUCAGUGCACUAUGGGCCAAGGAUAUUCGUGUAUUCAUCAAUGGUCAUGAUCAUGCCAACAACUGUCCAUCAAUGCACUAUGGCCAAUGGGGACUUUUACACAUCAUUUGUAACAUUACGGUCAUGAUUACACCGAAUAAUCCCUGGUCAUAAUCAUACCAAGUCCAUCUAUGCACUAUAGGCCACAGAUGACUUUCAAAAAAAUAUAAACAUGAGGAUGAUGACAAUGAUAUAAGAAUUCAAUAAAACAAGUUCAAGAAUUAAUUUAUUCAGGAACUAAGAACGUCCAAAUUGUCAACAUGAUACUUAUUUGUAGAGUAAAAUUCAAGAAUGCUCAGAAGAAUAUUUCCAUUAAAAGAUACUAGAUGAAGCGCAAAUAUCAAGGAUAUUCUAAAAUGAUUUUUAUAAUAUUAAAAAUCAUUUUAAAACUAAAUUAUUUAAUAUAAUCAUUAAAUAACUUUCAUAUCAUUAAUAAUAAUUAAUUAAUGAAAUUCAUCACAAAAUAUUAAAAGUCAUCACAAAUAACUCAUUUACAUAAUCAAUUCCAAGCCAAAAUAAACAUAGUAACUAACUAGUUUAUUAACAACACUAACUAAACUUCAAAAAUUCAAACUUUAACUAACAAUUAAAAAUAAUAACAUUACAAAAAUUAAAUAAGAAACAUACCCGGAAAUACGAAUUCCACAGACUGAAUACGCACUUCCACGCCAAAAUUUAACUAAGGAGAUCUUUAUAAAAAGUUCUCCCACAACAAAGCCUUUCUCAAAAAUUGGAGGCCUU
rnacentral:lncRNA from 1 species